AUGCCAAGAAACCACAUCGCAGACCAAAAGCUGUUACAGCCCAGUCCUGGACUGUCAGUCCCUGCCUCAACUGUGUGCCUGGCAUGGUGGUCUCCAGCCCUGUCUAUAACCCUGCUUCCUGGAAGGACCUUGGCUCUACUCAGCAGUAACCAUCAGAGUAACUGUCUGCUGUUUGAACCUCAGUUAAAUAUUAUUGGAAAAAAAAUGGAACUACAUUCUGGUGGAGUGAAGAAAAUUAAUAAAGUUAAGGACAGAAAAUAUAAUGAAAAACUCUCACAAGUCUUUGAGGCUGCACCCAACACCUGA
rnacentral:lncRNA from 1 species